rnacentral:sRNA from 1 species
CCAGGUCCACCAUAGUAAAUGUAAGUGCCCCAACUAGUGGUACUGGAGGAACCAGUCAUGAUAUUAUAGCAAUUGGGCAGCGAGGCUAUCAAGCCCACACCAUUUGGUGGUUUGAGAUGGUUGGAGGAAUCAACAACUUGGAUUGCUCUACUGUAGGUGGCCUUGCCAAACCCUUCCUCAGGGAAAUGUCCACUGCCCAUGGGUGCGGUAAUUUGAGGAGAAUACACCUCCCCACCCCAUUCCACAGUAUCGGCAACGCCUGUCUGCAGGAGGGUAAAGAUGGAUGAUGGCCAGUAGCCCACAUAAUUGCCUUGCAGUUGCAACCACCAGUUGCCCCCCGCUGGGUCCUUCCAAACUAAAUAAUCAUACUCAUAUUGUGUGCUGCCAUAGAUGGAGACAGGGGAUAAGCUGCCACCGAUGACGAACUGCGGGUUUGUCUGGAUGAACCCUGAGCACGCUAGAUUGUAACAUCCCGUUGUGUUAUAUGCAUCACGCUACAAUAUAUAUUCCAUUACUCUUGUAUUGAUCUUGCUCUUUAGGUGUCAUGUACCUGCCAUCCUGCUUCAAUGGUAUUAAGGUCCUUGUUUUCAUAGGAGCCCGCUGUGAUCCAUAGCUGGGACAAGCUGAAAUCACCGAAUGUUGCAAUCGUUGGUUGCCACACAUUGAUGGUCACUUUGGUUCCGUAGUAGUUGGAAUCCCCAGGUGGUACUAUACGUGGUGGCCGUCCGUGACACCACCCAAGUGAGAGUGAGGGUGAGGGCUCCCGCCGUGCGUCUUCUUGCCAAACGUUGUAACAGAGGUGGCCCUCAUGACAUCCUCCUCCUUGGUCCUUCGGAUCGGUAUAGUAUUGUCAGGGCACUUUUCGCCAUUCUGAUUCCAUGUUUGGGUGAAUGGACGUGUUGCUUCUCCAUAUAGGCCACUUGGCUGGAUAGAAGUGGAAUUAUAUAUGAAGUUAAUUCACCUGGAUUGUAUGGUCCUUGAGAAGAGGAUGGUCGAAUGCAGGUUGAUUGGAGAUGUGCACACAAUCUAUGAUAUCUCCAUCUAGGCUCUGCAUGCC